CUCCAUGCCUGCCAUUCAAGGGAACGGCAUUAACAGUGCACUCAGGGGAAGCCACCUGUCUGCCCUCUUCACCAGAGAAUGCCUGGUCCCUGCCUUCCGGAAUGGGUUUUUGGCAGCAUUUCAACCGGUCAUCAGAAGCUGUUAUGCUUAAUAGAAGGCUGGAUCAACCUCAUCAAGGAAAGAGGCACCUGUCCAUCCUUUUAGCAGUGAAGCACACUGAAAAACUGCUGUAGGGUAUAAAGAUCAACGGUGUGAAAAGAUUUCUGUCUGGUGAAGGAAGUAGGAACCUUAAUGGACUCGUUUGCUGGGGAACCACUACUGGUCACAGCUUUGUCUGAUAUUUUUAUUGGGAUUUUGUUAGCACUAUUAGAUUUUGAAAAUUGUACGUCAUCUUGACUAAACUACAAAUGGUGUUUUCUAAAGUACUCAGUGUUCGCUUAAGUCAGCUCCCAUUGACUCUGCUAGUCAAACGUAUUGGGAUUUCAGAGGGAGCAAAAUUAGCUUUUGAAAAAUUUCACCAAACUUUUCUAAAACAGUUUCUAAGUCUAGUUUUCCUUCUUCCCUAGUGAUCAAUGUGUUACAAACUCUGUGUGUGUGUUCGUUCUGUAGGACUAUUUAAAAUUAUGGUACAUGGAUAGGCAUGGUUUAGGCAGGAAAAACAGUACAUGGUGGAAUGUUAUCCUGUCCAAGAUUAUGCAAAUGUUAUAUCCAAUACUUUGCAUAAACAUUGUACUUGGUAUAAUAUUAUUAUACACUGGUAGGUCCAUAGGUAGCUGUUAUAGGGCUUUAUAGGACUGAUAAGUUUUUGUGCGAAACUGAAUUGUUAUAGCUCAAAUGACUAAGGAUGUAUUAUACAGUUUUCUGUUUGAAAAUCUGUGAAUUUAAAAAUUGCAAAAUGUUAUCCAAACUUUUGAUGCAAAUUUUUUGUUCCAAGCUUAGAGAGGGGCCUAUAUUUAUUAUGGCAAUUUUCCCCACUAGGUCUUUUAUUCAGCAUGGAAAUGAGAGAGUGAUGUUUGCCUCGUUAGCCUUUGUCUCCUGCACAUUAUAAAGGUUCCUCCCCCAUCAUGUGCAAUAAAGUGGCUACUCAGAUGUCCUUGGUCUUUAGGGAGUUUCUAGAACAGCUUCCGUGCUGAGGUUGAAAUAAUCUGCAGCCUGAAUCAAAUAUUCAAGUUGUUGCUGAGGCUGCCUGUCAGCAGCAGCCUGCUCUGUGAACAGUCCUGCUCUUCCUUACUUAAAUCUUUUUUCCUGACACUCUAUUUUAGAGCGGUUUACUGUAUGAUGACUAUCUGAUAAUGGGUUGACACAUACAGAAAGGCUGGUUAGGGACAGUUAGCCUAAUUUUAAAAGGUGCUGGGCAUCCAAAGUUUUUAGUUCAGAGGAACCCUAAGAGCUGAAAUCCCGAUUGUUAUGCGUUAUUUUGUGGCAUCAGUCACAUGGGUCACAGUUAGCGCUUAUACCCACCACAUAGCGGGAAGUCAGUUUCCACUGUGCCCAGGGGGCUGUUAUAAUCAUUCUAUGCCAUUCCCUGGUAAUUAAAUAGCCCAGACUAGUCAUAGUCUAGGCACCUCCAGCUGAUAUGCAAGAUGCAAAACUAUCUGCAGUUUUACUGAGAGAGAGAGAGCCCUAAGACAUAGAGCAGACACUCUCAAAACUGCAUGGGCACGUGGAAGCUGUUUGUUCCCAGAGACUGUAAUGAGGUUCUGCAUGUUACACUUACCAGUGCUAGGCCUCAGGAAAAAGCCAACUGGAGUCUAUGCCACAGCCGGAAAUGGCACAAAAGGACAUAAGGCCAGAACAAAGGUAGCCCAGGCUGCAUUCUAAUGUGAUCGGCAGCAAAGAGAUUGGGAACUAAUACUCUAAGGCCUAGUCUUUGAGUUGAGAUAGCACUUAGUAAGGCAAAAUAGAGCCCUUAGCAAGAAGCUAUAUUUUUCAGGAUAGCAAAGCAUAAUAGUUUCUAUUCCAUUGUGCGUACACAUCAGAGAACAACAAAAAGGCAAGGGGAGCUGCACACGCCUUCCUGCCAAGCACAUGCUGUCAUACUUUAUCAAGGGUGAUGUGACAAACAUGUUGUUUAAGUAUCACCAAAGUUAAGAAAUUUUAAUUCUUGUCUCCUCUGAACAGUUCUGGGCAUUCCCAUAGAGCAACGAUUACGCAGACAGAGUUUUGCCUACCUGAAGAGUUAAAAAAAUCUAGGUCCCUUCCCUCGGAUCAUGAGGUUUUUAAAACAAUUUAUACCUAUUGGGUUCUUGGUCAGGUUUUCAAGCUUUUUUCCUGCAACCAGAAAGGCUAGAAACUCUGCCUUGUACAUAAAAGCUAGAAUCUUUUGCUUCCAGGAGCUGGGGCGCUGAACAAAGCACCGAAUAUCGCAAGACUCACAAUAGAAAUCAUGAGCAUUCGUUGCACUGCAGAUGCUUCCAACCUACAAUUGCCACACCAAAUCAGAUGAGUGGUCCAUCUACUUUCAAUCUACUUCAAACCUGUCCAUAGGAUGGUUCAGGGCAGCUGCCACAGCCCCCAAGCUUUUGGGGGCCCCUGCCGCAGCCACCUCAACCAUUCUAUGGAUGGACCUGGCAUGGGCAGCAGCAGGGGGCAGCCUGCCCUCCCCUUCAUUGUGGCAGUGCGAAGCUGGAACAGCCUGGAAGCCUGCUCUGCCCUGCCACCCUUUCCUGGCCUGCAUUCAGCUUCUCCAUGGCAGCAGGAAAUAGAGUGCCCUGCCCCCAGGGUGCUCCAUUUCCUGCCACCACAGAGAAGCAUGCAGCAGAUGGGGAGGGUGGCGUGGCAAAGCAGGCUGCUGGGCCACUCCAGCUUCUGCCACCCUAAUGAAUGUGGGAGUGAGGGGAGACCCCUGCUUCCACCCAGACCCCAGUGAUCCACUGGCUUGCAUCAUGUGAGGGGAAGGAGCACAGCAGUGGCAGGAAGGGGUGUGACAGCGGCAGUACUUAAAGGAAAGGGUGGAACCGGGCAGGGCCUGUGGAGGGCUGCCCAGACCCCACACCUAGGGCAUGGUGGGGAGUAGAGGCGGCAGUAGCUGCAGGCCUCAUGUCCCCCAAGAGAUAGUCUGGACUUCAGAAUUGGGCCAGAGACCAGUUAUAAAUAUUUAUAGUGCACCAAGUUAAAUAUGAGUCACCAAUGUGACUGUUACAAAAAAGCAAA